UACGUAGGGUGCAGGCGUUAAUCGGAAUUACUGGGCGUAAAGCGUGCGCAGGCGGUCUUUUAAGUCAGAUGUGAAAUCCCCGGGCUUAACCUGGGAACUGCGUUUGAAACUGAAAGGCUAGAGUAUGGGAGAGGGAAGUGGAAUUUCAGGUGUAGCGGUGAAAUGCGUAGAUAUCUGAAGGAACAUCAGUGGCGAAAGCGACUUCCUGGACCAAUACUGACGCUCAUGUGCGAAAGCGUGGGGAGCAAACAGG
rnacentral:rRNA from 1 species